CUUGUGUUCUGCUUCUUUCAGCAUUUAGCUAAUUUUAUGUUUCUUUUAGCCUUCAGUGUCUGUUCUUUGUUCUGUUAGUCUUUAUGCAGCGUUUUGUUUUUUAGCCUUCAGCUAGUGUUCUGCUCCUUUAAAAACCCUGUUUUAGCUCCUUCAGCAGACUUCAGCACAGUCAACUGACACUCAGCAUCCCCACGGCUUUCUCAGAAAACGAUUUUUCUCCUGACAAUAGUUGUAUGUGCAGCUGUUUUUAAUUGGCAGAAAGAUGAUAUAAUUAUGUUGAUAUCUUUAUGAGUUUUUUUUUUUUUUCAUAUUUCCUUCUUCACUGUUUAUGUUUUACUGCCUACUUUUCCAUUUAUGUUUCUGUUUGGGUUGUAUCAGAUGACAGUGCUCUGGUUGUUUUCUGCAGCAGUCUUGUUCUUUCAGCCUGAAAAAAAAAAAAAAGAGAGAAAAAGAAUCAGCCUGACUUUUUGGAAGAACACUGUGGACUCCUCUCUGGAUGUACUGGUAUUCGUGUGACAGCCCACUCCAGUCUCCCCCCACCCCGACCUGUAGUGACUCCCGCACAACCCAAACACUUCCAAGUGGGAUCUUGUUUGCCCGCGGAAAGCCUCGACUACACUGUGUGCUCUUGGCUACAGGGAUUGAGCCAAAAAAUCUUGCGUAAUGUUUGCCRCCGGCAGGUUUAUGUUUGAGGGGCGGAAGGUAAAAAGAGGAGGAGAGAGCCUCCAGUCACAAGACUGCUGACCACUGGCAGCAGGCCUUACAUGGCUUUAACUAAGGCUGAUAAACAGUUCGUCAGAGCUGCAGAGUGCUGGGAUUUACAUGCAAGGACAGAAAGCUUCACACACAUACUGUAAAUAGACGACUUCGUGCCAACUAACGCAACAUAAACGACCAGUUUGUGUGAUUUCCAAACAGCAUAAA